GCAGUGUAUAGAGGCCCUUAGUGUAAUCAAACGUGUCAAUUUGUUCGCUUUUUAAAUUAUUCCUCUCGAGCGGCCGCGGGUGUCGACGCUAUUAGGUGUCUAAUAACUGUGAACUGCCUUCAUGUCUUAGCUACAAACAAUGGAAUGUA